rnacentral:lncRNA from 1 species
UUGUAUUUCAUAUUCUUUAACCCUAUAUUCACAUUAUCACUAGUUGAUCUUUAAUGAAUAUGUAGAUCUAACUUUUAUUGGCUAUGUUUUAUUAUCAUUUUUCACACUCUGUGGUUCAGUAAUUGACCGGAGACUAUACCAUAUAAGGCCUAAUCACAACUUAGUCUUCUUUUUUAUUUUUUCUUUAUUUAGGAGACCAAUUGUUAAAGAUAUGAACUUGGUACUGUUUUCAUGGCUUUAUGUGGGGUUUUUAUGUUCUUUUAUUCAUUUUGCACUUAUAAUUUUACUGGAUUGUAGUUUUUACAUUAUGUUUUAAUAGAUAGUAGUUUCAUGAAUGAUGAAGUUUAUGUUGCCAUAUAGAGUAGUUUGUGAUGAUAUACUUCAUAAACUUUCACUUGUGUUAAAUUUGUAAUGAUAAAAUUUAUAUUAUAAAAUAAAAAUUACUUAUAAGACUGGGCAUUACAACAUAUGAAAGACAAAUUGUAUUACAUAUUUUACUUUUGACUCUAAUAUGAAUAUCUCAAUUUAAAUUUUUUAUUUUAUUUUCUCUUUCUUUUUACAGGUAUAAAAUGUGAGAAUUGAAGCAAGAUUGAUUGCAAGCUAUGUGUCACCACAUUAUUGAUACUUUGGAAGGAAUUUUUACUUAUAUGUCUUUGUUUAGGAGUAAUAUUUGAUAUAUUUUAGUUAGAUUUUCUUGUCAUUGGACAUAUUUUACUUUUAUUUAAGGAGUUUGUAAUGAGAUAUUAUUCUUUAGUAUAAUUUUAGUUAUUUUUAUUAUAUGAUCAUGGGUGAAUUUUGAUAUAAAUAUUUGUCAUUUAAUAAAUUAAUUCAUCACAACUUGAUUACUUUCAAU